UACGUAGGGGGCAAGCGUUGUCCGGAAUUAUUGGGCGUAAAGAGCGUGUAGGCGGUCCGGUAAGUCAGCUGUGAAAGUCAAGGGCUCAACCCUUGAAAGCCGGUUGAUACUGUCGGGCUAGAGUCCGGAAGAGGCGAGUGGAAUUCCCGGUGUAGCGGUGAAAUGCGCAGAUAUCGGGAGGAACACCGAUAGCGAAGGCAGCUCGCUGGGACGGUACUGACGCUGAGGUGCGAAAGCGUGGGGAGCGAACAGG
rnacentral:rRNA from 1 species